ensembl:snRNA U5 U5 spliceosomal RNA
AUGCACUAGUUUUCAUUCAAAUUGCAUGAAUCUUUUACCUUUUACUAAAGAUAUCUGUGGAGAGGAAACAACUGUGAGUUUUAAGCUAAUUUUUUUUUAACACUCUGCAUUUCUUAGCGCGG